rnacentral:misc_RNA from 1 species
GUAUUGGAUGUAUCGUUAGGUUGUCUCGUAGUCGAAAUAAGAAUAGAACGCAAACGAACGGGCAUUUUCGGGGACUAGCUUGUUAAUGCAAUUAGCCAUAACCACCUCGUAUGAGCUAGCUACAGUAUACUCCUUUGCCCGAGCAUCUUUAUCCAGCAAUUAAAAGAAGCAUUCCCAGUAUGACUUUCCUAGCUCUGUGGGAAUAAGCCCGCUAUUGAAUCAGCAGUGAGGGAAUAGCGUACUAACAUCCCUCUAAUCCAGUGACCUUAUCGUCGCUAAAGCUCCUCCCUAAAGAAGUCUUGUUUCUUUCUCCGAGCUUCUGGUUCAAGUAAUGUGAGUAAUAAAAAAUGUAUAUAGAAAGAUUCUUUACAAUAAAAAAUAAAUUUUUUAAGUAGGAAUGUCCGUAAAAACGUCCUCAUCAGUAAAUUGAGGAUAUGUUCAGUUAUCCGGGAGUACCCAAUUAGGGUGUGUAAAAAUACUUUAUUUCGUUGAUUCCGGCUUUCACCGUAUAAACAUUUUACUUCUAUAUAGUAUAUAGAGAGGAUG